UGUGCAGCAGGCCAACCGAGAAGCGCCUGCGUCUCCCAUUUUCGGGCUGGCCUGCUGCUCCGG
rnacentral:pre_miRNA from 1 species